GCUGGGUGUGGUGGCACACACCUGUAAUCCCAGGUACUCUGGAGGCUGAGGCAGGAGGAUCGCUUCAUCCCAGAAGUUCAAGGCUGCAGUGAGGUAUGGUCGUGCCACUACAGUCCAGUCUGGGUGACAGAGUGAGAUCCUGUCUUUG
ensembl:misc_RNA Metazoa_SRP Metazoan signal recognition particle RNA